UCCAAUGUCUGAUUAGUCUCUCUUUGAAAAAUUCCUGAUGUCCAACCUAAACCUCACCUGCCAGAGCUUAAGACCGUACAUGUGGCUGUCCCACCAUUCCAAAGGCAGGAGCCACUUCCAGCCCUUUGCCCACCUCCCCAGCACUUUCUUUCUCUCGUAAUCAAUCCCUGCCUUUGCCAGCUCUCUGAUGUCCUCACAGAGCACAAUGCCCGAGUUCAGAACCCAAGCCGUGUUCCUGUGCUGCGUGGGGCACUUAAUCCACAGGGCAGGGCAGGGUGUUGGCCACUGAUGCUGUCCCUGGUGCCUUCUCACUCUCAGUAACCCUGCCAAAGCGUCUAACACGGUAUGUUCCUGUCUGUGAUUAGAGCUCCAAAGUGUUAUGGCAAUACAGUGAAUAAGUUGCAACUACAGAAAUCAGCUGUAAAGGGAAAUCAAGGUCCCCUCUUCAUGUCUCUUGAUCUUCACCAGACUUGAAGAACCUGUAGUUCUUGGAGCUGGAGUUUUCACAAGUGGCUACAAUGCCUGUAAUACAAAGCAACUGAGCCAUUGGUAGUUGUAUUGUUGAGCCAAAUGGAGGGACAAAUAUGUCAUCUGCUGCUGAAGGACUGAGGGACAAGGAAUGGGUUCCUGCAAGUGUCCAUGAAAUUCCACAAAGAAUGAUAUUAUUAACUCAGAUGUACUGACAUUGUGCAGAAGCAGAGAGAACAUUUUAGCU